UAGUAUCACUAACAAGAAUCGAGUUCGAGAUAUUAGUUCUUAAAAGAGAACAUGUCUACUAUAUUUUAUAUAUAUAUAUAUAUAUUUUUUUUUUUUUAAUAAGUGAGGCUCAUGGCCUAAUAUUAUCACAAUCACGACGGGAGGUCAGUUUUCGCUCUCUAAGGGAGUAAUUUUCAAUUGUUUGCUUCGUUUGGUAGAUUCAAAUCAAAUCCCAUCAACGUGGCUUCACAGGUUACUUGCUUCGUAAGAAAGCGCAAUCUCUUUUCAGAUUCAGAGUCCUCCCUCCUCCUCCUCUCUCUUCCUUGUCUGGGACUGUGCUGUGACAGAGGAUAAUGCACGAACGGCCUCGUAAUGCCCGAACCGAGGGAUGCAGCUGCAAAAUCUCGGAUGUGCCAAUCUCUCCAGUCUCAGUUCCUGCAUUUCCACCACAACCGCAUGUACUCCUCCUCUCUGUCUGAGCUCCAGUUCAAUGAUCGCCUCCAGUUUCAAUUUCCGAAUCCAAUGCUUAUACUUUCACGUGGGUUUGCAAUCUCUGAGCUACACCAGGGAGACUCUGCAGACCAGUGCAAAGCUGCUGGCGAUCUAUCUGGAGAAUUACACGGUCUGGAACUAUUGGAAGCUAGCAGUUGAGCACAACAUCAGAGAUUCCGAGUCUGAUCCUGACUCUGUAAAGUUGAUCUUCGAUGAAGAACUCCGAGCAGUGUUAAGGAUUAUGCUUUUCUGAUUUCAGUGUUACACUUGAACCAGAACCAGAUUACUUCUUCAAGCCUCAGCUCGGUUGUUUUCUAAUCCGUGUCUUCCUGGCUUAGCUUUUAUACUGCAAUUGAAAUUGGCACAUUUUGAGCAUUCAUCAAGAAGAGAAUGGAAAGGAGGGGGACCAAAGCUCAGGGUUUUUUUUUUUUCUUUUAUUGCAUAUUCCAUGGCUGCUUUGUUUUCUAGCUAGUUUUCGCAGUCCAAACAGUUGCUUGGAAGAUUUUCUUUGCUGCUUUUUCCGGUCCUUUUCUAGGUGCUGCACGCCAAUUUGGAUUAGGAGCACAGUAUGAAUAUUUUUGGAUUGAGUGGAUGAAUUUUCACAGGUAGAGAGUGCACUGAGGCAAAACUGCAAAUCCUAUAACGCAUGGAAUCAUCAAAAAUGGGUAUUAAGCAAGGGUCAUUCAUCUAUAGAUCGAGAAUUGAAGUUCUUGGGUCCGUUCCAAGAACAAGCUUCUCGGAACUUCCAUGCUUGUAAUUACAGGAGAUUUGUGGCCGCACUGAUGAAUCGAUCCACAGAAGAUGAAUUCAAGUACCCAGAAAAUCUUAUUGAAAAUGAUGAUGUUGAUUAUUCAGCUUGGCAUAAUCGCAGGUACCAUUUUGUUACAUCCAUGUUGUGUACCAGCUGUCGCUUGCGGCGUGUCCAAUGGAAGCAACAUGUCCAAUGGCAGCUCUCAUCUCCUGAUGUCAUUUGAGUAUUAAAGAUCAUAAUUUAGUAGCAGAAUUCUUGGCUCUAUGCAAUGCUUCUUAAGCUACGAGAUUCUCGAGGGUGCACUUACUGAAUAGGGAGAACGAAUAUAAAGUCGGGAUUCCGUAUUUGUUCUUUGGGUGUCCAAGUCAUGAACAUGAUUUAAAUAAGAUAUGCAAAUAUUUUAAACAGUACAUGUUAGAUUUAUCUGACUCGUUUAUUCAGUACGUUACGGUACAUUCUUUUACGGUAUACUAUUGUCUCGAGCUACUAUAGAAAAUGGAUCAUCUGUUCGAGAUGUUUUGAGCAAGAAGUAUGAUUUUGUGUAUGUUACUCUGGACUCACGUAAUCACAGUUCUUGGUUUUAUUAUCUCUGGCUCCUCGAACAAAUAAUCCAAUCUGAGGCUCCCCUACUUGUAUCUUCUUGGCCUCCCAAUGGGGCUGAUCUAAGUGUGUCGGGUAAUAGGUGUCUUGGUGCAGCAUCGAGUUUAUUCUCUAGAUUUUCUAUCGACUUAAGAAGAUUCCCAGUGGUUCUGUAUUUUAAUCAAAACGUAGAAGGCAUCGACUCAUCGACGGUAACUGCUGAAGCUUCAAUUGUUACAAGCAAAGAUCUUACAUGGAAGCUGCUUUCACCGAAAAAUUCUCAAUUUGGGGGAGUUUGGGUUGCAUACCGAGAUAUAUCUAGUGUAGGUCUUGAUUCGUUGAGCCCCCAGAGAGUCCAGGUGAGACUGGGACAUUGCCCAGGCAUGUAUCUUCGAGUAGUCUUCAGCUCAGCAAACUGUUUAGGUUAGAGUACAUAAUAACUGCAAAACCUAUUGAAACAGAAUACUCUCAAAGGCAUGAUCAUGAGAAAUUUCCAUGGAAAGAAGAUGACUUUCGUAACUCCGAAGGACAGCUGGAAGAAUCAAGUCCUCUUGCGCUUCGGGGUGGCAUAUAGAUACCGUGACGGAACAGACAAAUCACUUUCAGGGCCUUGUUGGGAGCUGGGACUGCUCUUUUUUUCUAGUAGCAAAAUUGGAAAAUUGAUGCUUGCCAGACUUCUGAUGGCUCGGGACGCUAUGUUGUCUCCAUGUGCAAAUAAGACGGCUCAUUCUGAAGAAGUUCUAGAACUAUAUAGAGAUCUAAUCAGAUCCAAUCCACCGCAUUCUCAGUACUAUAAGGACCAAAGCAGCUUGGUUUUGAUGCAGUAGGUGGGAUCAUUUGAGAAGUUCCUGUGGGUUCAAAUCUCAGAUCUCAGCGACAAGGAGUCUCAUUCAAUUGAAGUUAAACUGCUUCCAUCAAAUUUUAUAGCCAGAUUGGUUCGCUUGAUGAAGUUGGGAGUGUACUUCCUCGUAUAGAUUGGAUCUUCAUCAGCCAAUUUCAUGUUAAUCUAGAAAAUCCACGCUGUCGCUAAAGUUUGUCUUGACUUCUAUUGCCAACUUGUAGUUAAGCGAAUAUCCACAGCUAGAUUUUCCUCUUGAGGUGGAUCCUCAGUUUCUCUAGGCUCUUAUUACCAAGUUCGGGAGAUAUUCGUGUUCAACUCUCUCCUCCAUCCUUGAUGAGUCCAUAUCUAAUUUAUAUCCCGAUCUUACGACAGGAAUAGAGGCUCUGCAACUCCUUUCUUGCUUGAACCUGCGCAACAACAAACUGGCAAGUUUCUCUGCUCUGGAGCCCCUGAGAUCACUCAAGUCUCUGAGAGCGCCGAACAUCUCGUACAACGAGAUCGGCUGCCACCAUAUAGACACCAAUCGCUAUCUGUUCACGUCUCCUCUGACAUACUCAGGAGACAUGAGGACUUGCCUAACGGAGUAGAUGUUGAGAAUUACUGGGCGGCCUUCAUGGUGUUCAAGGACUUGGACUUGGUGCAGUUAGACGUAGCAGAAAUCCCAGUUGCUAACGAGAAGCUCCAGUCAUUCUUGGUCAGGAUUUUUCCCGCGCUCACGUGGUUGGAUGGUCGAAACUUGCACUGAUGCCUUACUUAUGCACGUAAGGGCAACAGUGUCGUUUCCAUAAGUUAUAAGAUGUAGACAUUGUCGUCCAGGAUUACUAUGAAUAAUAAGAAGAAAUAGGUUAAAAGAAUUUUAGUAGAAAUGUGUUUACUUAGAAGCUUCUCAGAUUAGAAUUAUCUUAGAUCGAAAUUGAAUUAUCUUGUGCUCAAAAUUUCAAAAAUCAACAUGGUUUUCGGGUUGGCUUCUGACCAUCUCGA